rnacentral:rRNA from 1 species
UACGGAGGGGGCUAGCGUUAUUCGGAAUUAUUGGGCGUAAAGGGCGCGUAGGCGGCCCGGUAAGUCAAAGGUGAGAUCCCUCGGCUCAACUGAGGAACUGCCUUUGAAACUGUCGGGCUUGAGACCGGGAGGGGGGUAGCGGAAUUCCUGGUGUAGCGGUGAAAUGCGUAGAUAUCAGGAGGAACACCGGUGGCGAAGGCGGCUUUCUGGACAGAUACCGACGCUGAGGCACGAAAGCUAGGGGGAGCAAACAGG